AAGGGCUAGUUAGCACACGAUUUUGAUUCUUUUUUUCCCCCAUUUUUUUUUCUUGUUUGUUUUUCCUUUCUUUUUCUUUCUUCUG
rnacentral:ribozyme from 1 species